rnacentral:rRNA from 1 species
GACGGAAGGUGCAAGCGUUGCUCGGAAUCACUGGGCGUAAAGGGUGCGUAGGCGGCUUGGUAAGUUGGGUGUGAAAGCCCCGGGCUCAGCCCGGGAAGGGCACUCGAAACUGCCGAGCUGGAGUGCCGGAGGGGAGAGUGGAAUUCCUGGUGUAGCGGUGAAAUGCGUAGAUAUCAGGAGGAAUACCGGUGGCGAAAGCGACUCUCUGGACGGCAACUGACGCUGAGGCACGAAAGCGUGGGGAACAAACAGG